rnacentral:lncRNA from 1 species
GCACAAGCUGUUCAGGAGGCGAGCGAUGAACUUCUGUACGGGCAGAAAACUGGUUUUUCCCCAAAAUCCCAUUUUUCUUCAAUUCACUCCCCAAAUUGGUUUACAGAUGUGAGUUAACUUACUGUAUGCACUCAGAACCUAUUUCUAACAUCAAAAUCAUCAUUCCAACUCCAAAAUCAUCUUUUCCUCAUAAAACCCCAAAAUCCCCAAUUCUCACCAAAACUCUGUUAAACACAAAAUCAGAAAUUAAUAGCUAUACUACUGAAGUAAACAUUACCCUUACCUUAAAUUUGCAGAAGAAAAUGCACAACAAUAAAGAUUCUUGAGUUCUACUUGCUCUUCUCUCCUUUCUCCCAAAACUGUCAGUUCUUACGUACAAUGCUUUUUAACUUCUAUUUUCCUAACUUCCCACUUACUUAACUCUUUUUAAUUCUCAUUUUACUCCCCCUUAAUUCUAUUAAAUUCUAUUAACUCCCCAAACACCAAAAUAAUUAAUAUUUCACCCUUAUUCUAAUUAUUAUUAAAAUAAACCAUAUAAUAAAAUAAACACACCACAUAAAUCACCAAAAAUCAUAUAUAUAUAUAUAUAUAUAUAUAUAUAUAUAUAUAUAUAUAUAUAUAUACUCCACAUAAAUCAAAAAUAAAUAACACAACGAUUAGAGUGUUACAACUCUCCCCAAAUUAUAGAAUUUCGUCGUCGAAAUCUUACCUCAAUCAAACAACUCCGGAUACGACUCCCGCAUCUUACUCUCCAGCUCCCAAGUCAAACUUUCACCAGUCGCUCCACCCCAAACGACUCUCACAAGAGGUAUCUCAUUACCUCUCAAAGACUUCACCUUUCUAUCAUCAAUCCUCAAUGGCAUAGUCUCAACUGUCAGGUUGUCUCUAACCUGCACGUCAUCCCUUGGAAUCACAUGUGAAGGAUCCGCUACAUACUUCCGAAGCUGCGACACAUGAAACACAUCAUGCAAGUUCGAAAGAUGUGUUGGAAACCCAUCCUAUAUGCCACUGUUCCAACCCUCUCUGAAAUCUGAUACGAACCAAUAAACUUAGGAGUCAACUUCCUCGACUUCAAUGCACGUCCAACACCCGUCAAAGGAGUGACCCUCAGAAAAACAUGAUCACCCUCCUGAAACUCAAGAGCCUUUCUUCGCUUGUCAUGGUAACUCUUCUGUCGACUCUGCGAAGCUUUCAUCUUUUCCCUUAUCAACCUGACUUUCUCAGUAGUCUCAUGAACCAAAUUCGGUCCCAACACAACACUCUCACCUGACUCAAACCAGCAUAAAGGAGUCCUACACCUCCGGCCAUACAAAGCUUCGAACGGUGCCAUACCAAUACUUGAAUGAUAGCUAUUGUUAUAUGUGAACUCAAUCAAUGGUAGGUGACUAUCCCAAGCUCCACCUUGCUCAAGUACACACACCCUCAACAAAUCUUCCAAUGAUUGGAUCGUCCUCUCCGACUGACCAUCUGUCUGAGGAUGAUAAGUCGAACUCAACCUCAACUUCGAACCCAAAGCAUCCUGUAAACUCUUCCAGAACCUAGAAGUGAACCUCGGAUCUUUAUCCGACACAAUACUUGACGGUACACCGUGCAACUUCACAAUACUAUGAACAUAAAUCUCUGCCAACUGUGCUACCGGAUAACUGAUAUUGAUAGGAAUGAAGUGUGCCGACUUCGUCAACCGGUCGACAACAACCCAAAUAGCGUCAUGCCCUCUCGGAGUGUUCGGUAGACUCGUCACGAAAUCCAUAGAGAUACUGUCCCACUUCCACUCCGGUACAUCCAACGGUGUCAUCAACCCUGUAGGCUUCUGAUGCUCAACCUUGGACUUCUGACAAAUCAAGCAAGCAUAAACAAACUGAGCAACAUCUCUUUUCAAACCGGACCACCAAAACAGUUUCUUCAGAUCAUGGUACAUCUUUGUAGCCCCCGGGUGAAUACUCAACCUACUCUUGUGACUCUCUUCAAGAAUCAACUUCUUCAAAUCAUCGUUGUCAGAAAUACAAACUCUUUCUCUGAACCUCAGGAAACCCUGAUCAUCAACCUUAAAAUCACUAUCCUCAGCGUCACUACCAGUAGUCAUCAAAUCAACAAAUUUCAAAUCUGCUUUCUGAGCUUCUCGGAUACUGUUCAAGAAAUUACUAACAAUCUUCAGCAUCCCCAACUGUAUACUCUGAGGUGACAAUUCACAGACCAGACUCAAGUCUCUAAACUGUUCCAACAAUUCAAAUUCUUUUACCAUUAAAGCAGACAUAUGCAAUGUUUUCCUGCUCAAUGCAUCAGCAACCACAUUGGCCUUACCAGGAUGGUAAUUCAAGCCAAAAUCGUAAUCCUUCAGUAACUCUAACCAUCUCCUCUGCCUCAUGUUCAACUGACGGUAAUCAAUGCACAGUCUCAUACUACCAUCCUUCUUCUUAACCAACAACACCGGUGCUCCCCAAGGUGAAACACUGGGUCUUACAAACUUCUUAUCCAACAAGUCCUUCAACUGUUUCUUCAAUUCAGCUAACUCAGAAGCUGACAUACGGUAUGGUGCCAUCGACACCGGCUUUGUUCCUGGAACAAGGUCAAUUGAAAAUUCAACCUCCCUCUCUGGUGGCACAUCAGGAAUCUCAUCAGGAAACACUUUUGGGAACUCAUUCACUACAGGUAACCUGCCAAUCACAGCUUGAUUUUCUACGGAUAAAUAAGCCAUCAGAGAAUACAUCAGAAUCCCGUCCCGUUCAAACUGUUUCAUCUGUUUUGUAGACAAAAGCUCAACCUCACCUUCUUCUUCAGCAGAAGAAAAAUGCACCGUCUUACUAAAGCAGUUGAUAUGAACUCGGUUAUACUCUAACCAGUUCAUUCCAAAAAUAACAUCCAUACCCGACAACGGCAAGCAAACUAGAUCAACCACAAAAUCUCUACCAAACAUAGAUAUAGGAUACCCCAAACAAACAAGAGAAGUAGUUACUGAACCCUUAGCUGGAGUUUCAACAACCAUUUCUCCUUUCAUAUCAGAUACAAUCAAACCCAACUUAUAUGCACUUUCUAAAGCAAUGAAACAAUGAGUAGCACCAGUAUCUAUAAUAGCAAUUAAAGGAGUACUAUUAAAGAAACAAGUACCUCUGAUAAGUCGGUCCUCAUUGGUAGUCUGCGUACCAGUCAAAGCAAACACCUUUCCACCAGUUCUAACCUUCUUCGGCUCAGUACACUGCGAACUGAUAUGCCCCUCUUCAUUGCAGUUGUAGUAGACAAUAUCCCCACGCUUGCAUUCAGCUAAAUUGUGUCCCUUCUGACCACACCUGAAGCACUUCCUCUCAUCUCUACCACAAACAUUGCUCUUGUUGCCUUUUUCACCACACUUGUAACAAACAAUCUCAGAAGGAGCAUCUCUCCUCUUAGGCCUCCUAUCAUCAUUCAUCUUCUGCUUUCCUUUGUCAGCAGGAGCACUUUAAGGCUUAGGACGACUCUGCUGUCCCUUGCCCCUCCUCUCACUCAUUAUCUUGUAAUGAGCUUUGGUGUCUUCUUUGUAAAUCCUGCAACUGUUUACCAACUCAGAAAAGACUCUGAUCUGCUGAUACCCAAUAGCUCUCUUAAUAUCAGCUCUCAACCCAUUCUCAAAUUUGAUACACCUGGCGAACUCAGCUGUCUCCACACUGUAAUGAGGGUAGAACUUAGCAAGUUCCACAAACUUUGCAGCAUACUCCGUGACGGACAUGUCACCCUGUUUCAACUCCAGAAACUCAAUUUCUUUCUUACCUCUGACAUCCUCCGGAAAAUACCUGCUCAGAAACUCUUUCCUGAACAUAGCCCAAGUUACCACAACAUCAUCCUGUUCCAGCAUAGGCAACAAACUCACCCACCAGUCGUCAGCCUCCUCCGCUAACACGUGCGUCCCAAACCGCACCUUCUGUGUCUCAGAACACUGCAUGACCCUGAAAAUCCUUUCAAUCUCCUUCAACCAUUUCUGAGCAUCGUCAGGAUCAUAUCUACCCUUGAACGUUGGUGGAUGAUUUCUCAAGAAAGUUACCAACCUUCUGGAUCCAUCACUACCAGUCUCCGCCUUAGGUUGCUGUUGAACAGCUUGAGCUACAGACUCAAGCGCAGCAACAAGAGCAGAAUCACUACUUCCAGUCAUCUUGAAGUUCUACACGAGAAACAACAACUCAGAACAACAACAAAAAGCAACAUUAAAGUUGACACUCUAUCCUAGGUGGCUCAACACGACUCUACUACUUGGCCGGACGGACCAACCUGCUCUGAUACCAAUUGUAACACCCCGUUACCCAAAAGUAAUUAAAUAAUAAUUAAUUCAACAUCAGAGUUCAACCCAAACGGGCAUGCUACACUACAUUCAAAAUUUCUUAAAUAGCAUAUGAAACUAUUUAAUUAAACAAUUUUCAAACAUCGUUAAACUUGCAGCGGAUUAUUAUCAACCAUCAACAACUGUUUAAAACCUCCAAAUAAUAUCUUGGCAUUAAGCCUAAACAACAACAUAAUCAACCAACAAAGGGCCACAUCAUCAAGUUUCAAAAAUUGAUACAUAGGAAGGAAAACAAUUCAUAAUAAUAAAUCCCAUCCCACGUAUCAGAGCCCUAGACACGACUCUUGAGCCACCACCGACUACUCAGGAUCACCUGCAAGUUACCCAUAUAAAGGGCAACAUUUUCAAGCAGAAGGGGUGAGAUUCACAACAAUAAAAUAUAGAUAUUAAAAUCUUCAAUUGAAUCUAACACCCUAUAACAUCAAUAUAUCAUCUUGUAAAUAUAAGCAUAUAAUUCACAAGCAACAACAACAUCAUCAAAAUCCACUCAUCACAAUAUGUAUAUAAAUGUAUAUAUUCAUCAACACAUCAUCAUCAUCAAUGUGGCAACUACAACCAACAACUAAGAUUCAUGCAUGACAUGACAACACCACUAAGACUCCUCAAAAUAUGCAAUUAUGCAUGUGGUACCAAACAGGACCGAAGCCCUCACCGCUUUUGAAUGGUUAAAACAUUCAUCAGGACCGAAGCCCUCACCGCUGUGAACAACUAGUGCUCCAGGACAUGAGUCCUCUCCGCUGUUUAUGCAUAUGCAAUGGACCUACUUGUGUAUAUCUACAUACAACUUGACCAUGCAUACAUACUCCAUAUGACUCCACUUUUACAACAUGUAUGGUUAAUAAAUAAAGCAUACAUUUCCAACCAUCACAACAUCAACAACCAGCAAUCCAGCAAUCCAGAAUAUUGCACAAUUACAUAAAACUAUGCUCAACACGAAAACAUUAAUCACUACCAUUCACGUAAGUAAAAUCAGCACACAAGAACAGGGUAGCUCGCCUCGCGAGCACAACUGCUCGCUAUGGCGAGUUCACAUAACUGGUUGCUCGCCAUGGCGAGUUCAAGGCGAACUCGAGGCGAGUGAAAAAUAGAUGCUCUCGGGAAUUUUGACAUUUUCUCACUCAAACCUCAAUUCUAAGCUCCCUAUUCAUCUUUUUAACCUAAAACUUGCUCCAGUCAUCAUCAAAAUCAUUUAGGUACAUUAAACCAUCCCCAAAACAUCUUAUAACAACAAUUGAAAAAUCAAGUUUUGAACUGGCUUGCUCGCCAUGGCGAGUUGGUCUGCUCGCGAGGCGAGCCAUGAAGUUGCUCACUCGCGAGGCGAGCACAAGCUGUUCACGAGGCGAGCGAUGAACUUCUGUACGAGCAGAAAAUUGGUUUUUCCCCAAAAUCCCAUUUUUCUUCAAUUCACUCCCCAAAUUGGUUUACAGAUGUGAGUUAACUUACUGUAUGCACUCAGAACCUAUUUCUAACAUCAAAAUCAUCAUUGCAACUCCAAAAUCAUCUUUUCCUCAUAAAACCCCAAAAUCCCCAAUUCUCACCAAAACUCUGUUAAACACAAAAUCAUAAAUUAAUAGCUAUACUACUGAAGUAAAUCUCACCCUUACCUUAAAUUUGCAGAAGAAAAUGCACAACAAUAAAGAUUCUUGAGUUCUACUUGCUCUUCUCUCCUUUCUCCCAAAACUGUCAGUUCUUACGUACAAUGCUUUCUAACUUCUAUUUUCCUAACUUCCCACUUACUUAACUCUUUUUAAUUCUCAUUUUACUCCCCCUUAAUUCUAUUUAAUUCUAUUAACUCCCCAAACACCAAAAUAAUUAAUAUUUCACCCUUAUUCUAAUUAUUAUUAAAAUAAACCAUAUAAUAAAAUAAACACACCACAUAAAUCACCAAAAAUCAUAUAUAUAUACACUCCAUAUAAAUCAAAAAUAAAUAACACAACGAUUAGAGUGUUACAGAAAAUACGAGGGAAAAUGAGAAAAUCUUUCAAUUUUUUUAAAAGAGUAGUUUUUUAGAAAAUGAUAAAUUAACACAUAUGAUUACUAUAAUAAUAUAACAACAUAUGUUAAAUUUGAAUAAUUCAUAUAAACCCUCAACUCCCCCCUCUCAAUAAAAAAAAAAAAAACAUAUCCAAUGCAAUUUUUUAGUUCUCCAAAGUUAUGAGGGUUUAGUAUUAUGAAGAAGUUAAAUCCCAAAGUCUUCCCCUCCCAUUUUCCUCUAUUUCUUUCACUUGUUCAAUUCUUUUUUCUUAAAAUUUAUCCUUCAAUCCCCUCCAAAAUCGCAAACAAAGCCGUAAGACAUGACUCAAAAUCAUUACCAGUUGACAAGUGAACGAGCCUCCACUACCGUUGCUCCAUCUUUAUCUAAAAAAAGAGUCAGAUAUGUAUGAAGUUUCUGCCCUUGAUCACUUAGCUUCUAAGGUGGACGCGUUGUUGAAACAAAAUUGGUUUGUACAAUUCCUCUAAGAUUUUGAUGAUAAUAAAGUAUUAAAGAACAAUUGGAUAUGCUAAUAUAUGUUAGUAUGCAUGACCAUAUAUUAAAUUUUAACAAGGUCUUAACAUGUAUAAGAGCAUCGAAUGCACAAUAGAAGCUCAAAGACUAUGGUAGAAGAUCUAAAGAAAGUUUAACCAGAAGUCAACACCUUGUUUGAUUGAUUGCACAUUAAGCCAUUCUGCAAUGUAAAUAUUUAUCAUGGUUUUAUCUCUUUGACUUUUUAUGGUAAGGUUUUUAAUGAAGACAAUUGUUAUAUGUUUGUUAUGAUUGUACUCUUGAUUUUCAGCCUAAUCCUCUCAAGUUCUCUUAAUUUUAUUUUAUUUUAACAAAUUUAUUGGGGUUCUGUAAAUGGCAAGCAGGGUUCUUGGAAUGCCGACACAAUUGAAAUGUCAUAUUUUUUCCUGGAUACAUUUGCACUUUAAUUAUUUCUUAAAAAAUUAUUCCAUUUAUUUUGAUUUUUUGUGUGAUAUCUUCUUAAGAAAAUGAAUGUAAGAAUACUUGCAUAUCACAAUAAUACACCUUAAGGUUGUAAUAAAAUUGAAAGACUUGAGGAAUAUUAUUAUAAUUGUGCAAACAUUAUAACAUACAUAUAAUUUCUUACGUUUAGAGGUAGCAUAAUUAUUCUCUGGACAUCUCUAGAUAAUAAUCAUCGUCAGACAUUUCCCCUAAAUCGUACUCACAUAUUUUAUUAUUACACUUAAAUGAGUAAUGUGACAUCUCUGGACACUCAUCGUCAGACAAGCAAGGAAUACCAUCUGCAUUGUCAAUAUUUUUUUAAUAAAUGUUGUUAAAAUAUUGUGUAUAAGAUAAAUUAGAAGAUUCAAAAAUGGUUUGAAAAAUUACAUACCUCUAACAAAUAGAGAACUAAAGAUGAUCAAAGCAUAAAUCAAAGCAUAAACAAACAUGAUAAUAUGAGCCAUAUUUUUCCUCCUUUGUAUGUAUUAAACAUAUUUUUUUUGAUUGCUUUAUAAGUAAAUAUUUUAUGCUUUGGUAACUUCAAUUAAACAAUUUUUAACACUUAGGAAUUGAAAGAAGCCAUUUAUUA